rnacentral:misc_RNA from 1 species
GAUGAAGAACGCAGCGAAAUGCGAUACUUGGUGUGAAUUGCAGAAUCCCGUGAACCAUCGAGUCUUUGAACGCAAGUUGCGCCCGAAGCCGUCAGGCCGAGGGCACGCCUGCCUGGGCGUCACACGCCGUUGCCCCCCCCCGCGCCCCGCACCCAACUCUUUGGGAGCGACCGCGGGGCGGGCUGAUGAUGGCCUCCCGUGCGCUCCGCCGCGCGGUUGGCCCAAAUACCGAGUCCCCGGCGACGUGCGCCACGACGAUCGGUGGUUGAGAGACCUCUGUCGCAAGUCGUGCGCGCCCGUCGCGUCACGCGGGCUCGCAUAGCGCCUCGCGCCGCACCCGGUGCGGAGCUUUCAACGCGACCCCAGGUCAGGCGGGGUUACCCGCUGAAUUUAAGCAUAUCAAUAAGCGGAGGA